rnacentral:rRNA from 1 species
AUUGAACGCUGGCGGCAUGCCUUACACAUGCAAGUCGAACGGCAGCACGGGAGCUUGCUCCUGGUGGCGAGUGGCGAACGGGUGAGUAAUGCAUCGGAACGUACCCAGGAGUGGGGGAUAACUAUCCGAAAGGAUGGCUAAUACCGCAUAUUCUGUGAGCAGGAAAGCGGGGGAUCGCAAGACCUCGCGUUCUUGAAGCGGCCGAUGUCGGAUUAGCUAGUUGGUGGGGUAAAGGCUCACCAAGGCGACGAUCCGUAGCAGGUCUGAGAGGAUGAUCUGCCACACUGGGACUGAGACACGGCCCAGACUCCUACGGGAGGCAGCAGUGGGGAAUUUUGGACAAUGGGGGCAACCCUGAUCCAGCCAUGCCGCGUGAGUGAAGAAGGCCUUCGGGUUGUAAAGCUCUUUCGGCGGGGAAGAAAUAGCAACGGCUAAUAUCCGUUGUUGAUGACGGUACCCGCAUAAGAAGCACCGGCUAACUACGUGCCAGCCGCCGCCGUAAUAC